rnacentral:misc_RNA from 1 species
GUAGGACAUACACCGAGUUGUAAUUAAACACAAAUAAAAAUGAUAAGUACUAUCAGUUCUCCAUACUCUUACUAGCAUAAGAAUCUCUACUAGCAAAAUAACAAAAACGGACAGAAAGUUUCAAAUAUACGUCCUGUUCUUGAAGAGACCGUUAUCUUUUCUUCUUAUUCGUUUCUUUUGUAUCCGAGACUAAGGCCUUGAUGCAGAGUCGAGGCUUCGUAGUAACAAGUGCUCGAGGAAGAACUGAUACACCAACUAUGGCUGUCCUAUCUGGUACUCCAGACAAUGGAAGUACCUCAACAAGCACACAGAUCUCUGGAUCUUUCAAAUCCACUAUCGAAUCUGGGACGACUUCUUUCACUGCUGCUGCUACGACGCUAAAGCAUUUGUUGCGAUCCAACAAAGCAAAUAUAUCAGGAUCACUGGAAGUGUUUCUUAGAUUCUUCAUCUCGGUUUCUUCAAUCCCUCUCCUGUUAUACCCAACUGCAAACUUAACAGUGUCUCCUGUCUCCUGCCUAUUGUUCAUAAACUGCUCAACAAGCUUUGUCACAAUCUUCUUAAGUUCCUUCUCAUCUAAACAGCAUGUACCUUGAAUUGGUAAUAUCCGAUUGCACCAAAGAGGAGACUUCAAUAUUCCAGAUUCUAGGGAUUGAAAAAUCUGUGAAACAAUGUCAACAACUGCUGGAGACUUGUCGAAUGGAAGUUUAAGGAGAACUAAUCCGCUUCUCGUUAACUUAACAAGUGAGAGAAUGUCACUUUUCUCCAUAGAGGUACCAGAUUCCGAAUUCACAUGUUCAUUAGCUGCGCCUUCUCUUGAUCCUUUACAUUCUUCAUUAACAUCAUCUACACAUGUUUUCCUUCGCUUAGCAUCAUGAUUUGAAACAAUAUACUUUUCAAGGAUACUUAUAGCUUCUUUCGUUGCACUUUUUUCCCUUUUGAUUGGGCAUGUAAUGAGAAACCCAGAAUGCGAAUGGCGGAGUAAGGAAGAAGAAGCGUUGUAAUCGAAACGAGGGAUGCUUAUCACAGAAGAAUGCUGCUCCCAUGGCUUCAUCUCUUCAAUUUUUUCUCCUUCUCCUUCUGCAGUUCUCCCUUCAUCUUCA